UUUCUGCCUGUCUUUUUGUGUAUGUUCUAAGCCUGGGAUGCGGAGCUAAAAAAACGUGCAAUGUUUAGAGAUGUUGAUAAAAUCUCUCAAAGAUAGAGCAGACCAACAUCAGUGUGACUGCAGUUUAUUAAUGGCUCAUUCCCAAGAACAUCACCUUACAUAGAGGAAUGCCAGUUUCCGGAAGCUCUUGAUCCCAUGGUAGUGGCAGGCAGCAUAGUGAUAUGCAACUUCUCAGCUGGAUUUUACAACCAGACUUCCUCUCUCACUUCCAUCAUCAACACUGCAAAUAUCUUGGGAUUCACGGGUUUCAUCCUAGCUGCGAAUCCUGCUUAUGGCUGCUGCAGGUUUGGGAUUGGUGUGUCUCAGAUGAGCACCUAGUUCUUGGUAUACAUCAGUAGUAUGAAGUGAGGGAGGAGGACCCGGCUACCAGCUCACCUUCGAAGAAGGCCUACUAGAAGCAGCUGAGGGAGGUAUUCAACAUGAACAGGAAAAGGAUUCUUGCGUUCAAGAACAAGCCACCUACUCCUGUUGAGUUCAUGCCCCAGGAGUAUGCUUCUGUCCACCAAUCUAAGCCCGUUAAGCCUCGCAGACACAUCCCUCGGGGAGGCAAGAUUCAAGCUUCUAUAAAAAAGGUUUUUAUUGCGAAAUUUAAGGAUGCUUUAACCCAAGGAGAGGCAUACGAAAUCUCAAAUUUUAGUGUUGGAAAGAAUGUUGGAGACUAUAAACUCAUGAUGCAUCCAUACAAAAUUAACUUUAGAAUGUUUACUCAAGUUGUAGAAGUGGUUGGAUCGAUCAUUCCUAUACACAGUUUUGAUUUUAAGUCUUAUGAAGCACUAAAAGAUCUAGAAAACAGUGUGUUAAUUGGUAUAAAAAUCAACUACAUUAUUAAGUAUUAUAUUUAUUUUAGAUAUAUUAUUUACUGUUAUUAUCGGUUUUUUGAAAAAAAAAAUUGUAUUGGAUAUCUUUCUGGAAUAUUAUCAAUUGACCAAUUUAUUAGAGAUGGAAACCCACAAAAAAUGCUCAAUAUUCAA